GUUGAACGCUGGCGGCAUGCCUAAUACAUGCAAGUCGAGCGAACGCACGCCUACGUUUCCUCUCUAGUGUUAGCGGCGGACGUAUUAGUAACACGUGGAUACCCUACCUAUAAAACUCGGAUCACUUCGUGAGACCGUACCUCAUACCGUAUAAUAUUUUGAACCGCAUGGUUCAAAAGUGUAUUUCGCUCUUGCUGUCAGUUAUGGAUGGAUCCGCGCUGCAUUAGCUAGUUGGUAAGGUAAAGGCUUACCAAGGCGACGAUGCGUAGCCGACCUGAGAGGAUGAUCGGCCACACUGGAACUGAGACACGGCCCAGACUCCUACGGGAGGCAGCAGUAGGGAAUCUUCGGCAAUGGGCGCAAGCCUGACCCAGCAAUGCCGCGUGAGGGAAGAAGGCCUUCGGAUCGUAAAACGCUGUUGUUCGGAACGAAAAGAUGUGGGCGUAAACGUGGAGCUCAUGACGGUACCUAAACAAAAAGCAACGGCUAACUACGUG
rnacentral:rRNA from 1 species